rnacentral:misc_RNA from 1 species
GAUGAAGAACGCAGCGAAAUGCGAUAAGUAAUGUGAAUUGCAGAAUUCAGUGAAUCAUCGAAUCUUUGAACGCACAUUGCGCCCGCCAGUAUUCUGGCGGGCAUGCCUGUUCGAGCGUCAUUUCAACCAUCAAGCCCCCGGCUUGUGUUGGGGACCCGCGGCUGCCGCAGGCCCUGAAAAGCAGUGGCGGGCUCGCUGUCACACCGAGCGUAGUAGCAUACAUCUCGCUCUGGGCGUGCUGCGGGUUCCGGCCGUUAAACCACCUUCAUAACCCAAGGUUGACCUCGGAUCAGGUAGGAAGACCCGCUGAACUUAAGCAUAUCAAUAAGCGGAGGA